rnacentral:tRNA from 1 species
GACUCCGUGGCGCAAUGGUAGCACGUCUGACUCCAGAUCAGAAGGUUGCGUGUUCGAAUCACGUCGGGGUCA